rnacentral:rRNA from 1 species
UACAGAGGUGGCAAGCGUUGUUCGGAAUUACUGGGCGUAAAGGGCGCGUAGGCGGUUCUGUAAGUCCCGCGUGAAAUCCCCCGGCUCAACUGGGGAACUGCGCGGGAAACUGUGGGGCUAGAGUUUAGGAGAGGGAAGCGGAAUUCCGGGUGUAGCGGUGAAAUGCGUAGAUAUCCGGAGGAACACCGGUGGCGAAGGCGGCUUCCUGGACUGACACUGACGCUGAGGCGCGAAAGCUAGGGGAGCAAACGGG